GUGAACGCUGGCGGUAGGCCUAACACAUGCAAGUCGAACGGCAGCACAGUAAGAGCUUGCUCUUACGGGUGGCGAGUGGCGGACGGGUGAGGAAUACAUCGGAAUCUACUUUUUCGUGGGGGAUAACGUAGGGAAACUUACGCUAAUACCGCAUACGACCUACGGGUGAAAGCAGGGGAUCUUCGGACCUUGCGCGAUUGAAUGAGCCGAUGUCGGAUUAGCUAGUUGGCGGGGUAAAGGCCCACCAAGGCGACGAUCCGUAGCUGGUCUGAGAGGAUGAUCAGCCACACUGGAACUGAGACACGGUCCAGACUCCUACGGGAGGCAGCAGUGGGGAAUAUUGAACAAUGGGCGCAAGCCUGAUCCAGCCAUACCGCGUGGGUGAAGAAGGCCUUCGGGUUGUAAAGCCCUUUUGUUGGGAAAGAAAAGCAGCAGGUUAAUACCCCGCUGUUCUGACGGUACCCAAAGAAUAAGCACCGGCUAACUUCGUG
rnacentral:rRNA from 1 species